GCAGCUGGGCUGCCUCCUCCUUUCUUGUGACAACAUCCUUGAAGGAAGAUAAAAAGUCUGCUCCUGCAGACUAGAAAGUUCUAUGUUGUGGUGAUGCAGGGAAUGGAGAGCCAAGCCGAGAAACAGGAGAUCCUGGGUUCAGGUCUAUCCUCAGACACUCUCCAGCUCUGUGAUCCUGGGACCUCAUUCCAAGCUAACCUCCCACAACUGCCAAAUUGAUUUUCUGAAAGUCAUGGUCAAGUCAUGUCACACCCUGUCCCCAUUCACUGAAUUCCAGUGUCUCUCUCCUGCCCACAGAACCAAUGCUUUAACCCCCAUUGUCUAGCCCUACCCACUCUUCUGCCUUGGAAUUGAUGCCUAGAAUUGAUUCUGAGAUGGAAGGAAAGGUGGAUGAUUGGUGGAGAAGAAAAAGGGCCUUUCCUUGGAAGAAUUGAUUAAAGGAUAAUCUCUUUUAUCCUAAUACCUGAAACCCUAAAGUGAUCAGACUAAAGACUACUGAAAUGGAAGAACCCUGUUCCACUCACCUGGAGGCACUUUCAACCAAUUCCUAUUGAAUUUAGAAUCUAGAAAUGGAAUAGAGAUAUGGUUUCUCAUCUAUUCAGAACCCAGAACUGUAUUGUUAUAUGUCUUGAUUAACUUUAUCAGAUUCUAUAUACCUAAAAUUGUCUUAGAGCUAAGUCAUCUUCAAAAGCAUUGUAUCUAACUAGAUCCUUUUCUCUCCACCCAUACAGCAAUACCCUAAUAAAAUCCUUUUUCACCUCUCACCAAGAA